GACGAACGCUGGCGGCGUGCUUAACACAUGCAAGUCGAACGGAAAGGCCCUGCUCUUGCGGGGUGCUCGAGUGGCGAACGGGUGAGUGACACGUGUGUAACCUGCCCUUUGCAUUGGGGUAACUUCAGGAAACUGGGGCUAUUACACGAUAGGAGCUUCUGCUGCAUGGUGGGGGUUGGAAAGUUUGGGCGGUUGGGGAUGGAGUCGCGGCCUAUCGGUUUGUUGGUGGGGUAGUGGGUUACCAGGUCUUCGACGGGUAGCCGGCCGGCCAGGGUGACCGGCCACAUUGGGUCUGGGAGACGGCCGAAGCGCCUACGGGGGGCAGGAGGGGGGAAUGAUGCACAAAGGGCGGGAGCGUGAUGCAGCAACGCGGCGUGCGGGAUGAGGGCCUUCGGGUGGUAAGCCUCUUUCGGCGGUAACGAAGCAUGAGGAAGGGAAAUGGACAAAAAGGCACGGCCAAACUAGUG
rnacentral:rRNA from 1 species